ensembl:snRNA U6 U6 spliceosomal RNA
GUGCUUGCUUCAGCAGCAUGUAUACUAACAUUGGAAUGCUACAGAGAAAAUUAGUGUGGUCCCUGUGCAAGGAUGACAUGCAACUUCAUGAUGUGUUGAAUAUUUUU